rnacentral:rRNA from 1 species
UACAGAGGGGGCAAGCGUUGUUCGGAAUUAUUGGGCGUAAAGCGCGCGCAGGCGGUCCUUUAAGUCUGAUGUGAAAGCCCACGGCUCAACCGUGGAGGGUCAUUGGAAACUGGGGGACUUGAGUACAGAAGAGAAGAGUGGAAUUCCACGUGUAGCGGUGAAAUGCGUAGAGAUGUGGAGGAACACCAGUGGCGAAGGCGACUCUUUGGUCUGUAACUGACGCUGAGGCGCGAAAGCGUGGGGAGCAAACAGG